rnacentral:rRNA from 1 species
AUUGAACGCUAGCGGGAUGCCUUACACAUGCAAGUCGAACGGAGUGGCGAACGGGUGAGUAAUGCAUCGGAACGUGCCCAGUAGCGGGGGAUAACUACCCGAAAGCGUCGCUAAUACCGCAUACUAUUGGAGCGGCCGAUAUCGGAUUAGCUAGUUGGUGGGGUAAAGGCCUACCAAGGCGACGAUCCGUAGCUGGUUUGAGAGGACGACCAGCCACACUGGAACUGAGACACGGUCCAGACUCCUACGGGAGGCAGCAGUGGGGAAUUUUCGGCAAUGGGGGAAAGCCUGAUCCAGCCAUGCCGCGUGUGCGAAGAAGGUUUUCGGGUUGUAAAGCACUUUUGGUAGGGAAGCGGUACCUAACCAGUAAGCCCCGGCUAACUACGUGCCAGCAGCCGCGGUAAUAC